UACGUAGGGGGCAAGCGUUGUCCGGAAUCAUUGGGCGUAAAGCGCGUGUAGGCGGCUUGGUAAGUCCGCUCUGAAAGCCCGGGGCUCAACCCCGGGAGGCGGGUGGAUACUGUCAAGCUCGAGUCCGGAAGAGGCGAGUGGAAUUCCUGGUGUAGCGGUGAAAUGCGCAGAUAUCAGGAGGAACACCAAUGGCGAAGGCAGCUCGCUGGGACGUUACUGACGCUGAGACGCGAAAGCGUGGGGAGCAAACAGG
rnacentral:rRNA from 1 species